UACGGAGGUCCCAAGCGUUGUUCGGAAUUACUGGGCGUAAAGGGAGCGCAGGCGGACAGGUCAGUCUGAAGUGGAAAUCCGGGGCUCAACCUCGGACUUGCUUCGGAUACUGCUUGUCUUGAGUUCGUGAGAGGAAGAUGGAAUUCAGGGUGUAGCGGUGAAAUGCUCAGAUAUCCUGAGGAACACCGGUGGCGAAAGCGGUCUUCUGGCGCGAAACUGACGCUGAGGCUCGAAAGCGUGGGGAGCAAACGGG
rnacentral:rRNA from 1 species